rnacentral:rRNA from 1 species
UACGUAGGGUGCAAGCGUUAUCCGGAAUUAUUGGGCGUAAAGAGCUCGUAGGCGGUUUGUCGCGUCUGCUGUGAAAACUGGGGGCCCAACCCCCAGCCUGCAGUGGGUACGGGCAGACUAGAGUGCGGUAGGGGAGAUUGGAAUUCCUGGUGUAGCGGUGGAAUGCGCAGAUAUCAGGAGGAACACCGAUGGCGAAGGCAGAUCUCUGGGCCGUAACUGACGCUGAGGAGCGAAAGCAUGGGGAGCGAACAGG